UGGAGAGUUUGAUCCUGGCUCAGAGUGAACGCUGGCGGCGUGCCUAAUACAUGCAAGUCGAACGGACGAGUAAGAGCUUGCUCUUAUGAGUUAGUGGCGCACGGGUGAGUAAUGUAUAGCUAAUCUGCCCUACACUAGAGGACAACAGUUGGAAACGACUGCUAAUACUCUAUACUCCUCUCUAGCAUAAGUUAGAUAGGGAAAGUUUUUCGGUGUAGGAUGAGGCUAUAUUGUAUCAGCUAGUUGGUGAGGUAAUGGCUCACCAAGGCUAUGACGCAUAACUGGUCUGAGAGGAUGAUCAGUCACACUGGAACUGAGACACGGUCCAGACUCCUACGGGAGGCAGCAGUAGGGAAUAUUGCUCAAUGGGGGAAACCCUGAAGCAGCAACGCCGCGUGGAGGAUGACACUUUUCGGAGCGUAAACUCCUUUUGUUAGGGAAGAACAAUGACGGUACCUAACGAAUAAGCACCGGCUAACUCCGUGCCAGCAGCCGCGGUA
rnacentral:rRNA from 1 species